rnacentral:rRNA from 1 species
UACGAAGGGGGCUAGCGUUUCUCGGAAUCACUGGGCGUAAAGCGCACGUAGGCGGAUUGCUAAGUUAGGGGUGAAAUCCUGGAGCUCAACUCCAGAACUGCCUUUGAUACUGGUGAUCUUGAGUUCGGGAGAGGUGAGUGGAACUGCGAGUGUAGAGGUGAAAUUCGUAGAUAUUCGCAAGAACACCAGUGGCGAAGGCGGCUCACUGGCCCGAUACUGACGCUGAGGCACGAAAGCGUGGGGAGCAAACAGG